rnacentral:rRNA from 1 species
AUUGAACGCUGGCGGCAGGCAUAACACAUGCAAGUCGAGCGAGCGGCGGACGGGUGAGUAAUGUCUGGGAAACUGCCUGAUGGCGGGGGAUAACUACUGGAAACGGUAGCUCAUACCGCAUACCAUCAGAUGUGCCCAGAUGGGAUUCGCUAGUAGGUGGGGUAAUGGCUCACCUAGGCGACGAUCCCUAGCUGGUCUGAGAGGAUGACCAGCAACACUGGAACUGAGACACGGUCCAGACUCCUACGGGAGGCAGCAGUGGGGAAUAUUGCACAAUGGGCGCAAGCCUGAUGCAGCCAUGCCGCGUGUGUGAAGAAGGCCUUCGGGUUGUAAAGCACUUUCAGCGGGGAGGCGUUACUCGCAGAAGAAGCACCGGCUAACUCCGUGCCAGCAGCCGCGGUAAUUC